CUCGAGCGAGUCGACGACGACGAGGAGGCCUGUGUCGUCUCCGGAUCACAUCCGAACGAUCGGCAAUACGCGAGUAGCAGAUUAUACCGAAUGGUCGACAGUAGAAAUUCCCCAAAGCACGACCAGCGGCCAUGAUUGGUGGUGGUCAAUUGCAACGUGGUCAGAUGUUACAUGGACGAAGGGAGAAGAAAAGAAAGAUUUCGAGAAAAUCGAACGAAAUUUUCGUCCUCUACGAAUUUUUUAUCGAGGAAAAGGGGAUGCUUUUGUGCGAACGAAUUAAUAUCGGCUACAAGCGAUCAAUUUGAUUGACGGAGGAUUACGCGGGUCGGCAUUCAAGAAUGCGAAACGAGAGGAAUGGAUGAAGUCUCGAUGAAAUUAAAAUUGUAAUGCGGCGGACGCGCGCGGCACACGUAUGGAGCGGAGAAGUCCCUGAGAUUUUAAUAUCUGCCUAUUGAGACGGGUAUCGCAGAAAUACUGGAGAGAACAAUGGAAAGAAGAUCAGAACUUCGCGCUCGAACGUUUUUUGUACCUGUAGAAAUCUACUUUUAAUGUCAUAUGAGACGAAAAACUCUUCGAAGCGAGACAAGGCUCGGCUGGGAUCGAACCCAAGUUUUCCGUCUGCCCGGUAACCGCUCUUACCACUGAACUAUUUCAACUUCAUGUCAGUGAUAUCUUCUGUUUUCACAUUUAAAGUAUUUUACUCAUAUGUACCUCGUACUUAUGUAUACGAGGUACAUACGGGAAGUCGUGUACCUUCUAAACAAAAGUACUGCAAGUUCAUUUCGUGUAUAUAAUAUGUGUAAUAUAAUAUCUACCAGGUGUAGAAGUAUGAAACCGGAAUUUUUUUGU